rnacentral:rRNA from 1 species
UACGUAGGGGGCAAGCGUUAUCCGGAUUUACUGGGUGUAAAGGGCGAGUAGGCGGGAUUGCAAGUCAGAAGUGAAAGCCCGGGGCUCAACUCCGGGACUGCUUUUGAAACUGUGUUGCUAGAUUGCAGGAGAGGUAAGUGGAAUUCCUAGUGUAGCGGUGAAAUGCGUAGAUAUAUGUAAGAACACCGGUGGCGAAGGCGGCUCUCUGGUCUGUAACUGACGCUGAGGCUCGAAAGCAUGGGUAGCGAACAGG